UACGUAUGGUGCAAGCGUUAUCCGGAUUUACUGGGUGUAAAGGGAGCGUAGACGGCUGUGUAAGUCUGAAGUGAAAGCCCGGGGCUCAACCCCGGGACUGCUUUGGAAACUAUGCAGCUAGAGUGUCGGAGAGGUAAGUGGAAUUCCCAGUGUAGCGGUGGAAUGCGUAGAUAUUGGGAGGAACACCAGUGGCGAAGGCGGCUUACUGGACGAUGACUGACGUUGAGGCUCGAAAGCGUGGGGAGCAAACAGG
rnacentral:rRNA from 1 species